CGACAAGUAAAUCUAAAACCUAAACCUAAACUUCCUCCCUCAGCCGCCACUCUCCCUUCCCAUUUUCUUACGUUUUUCUUCCAUAGUCGGCGUUAACUUAAGGCCGCGAGAAAGACAAAGAGGAACAAGAUGGUAUCCCUACUGCUUCUCUAUUGGACAGAAAUUUAACUUGUCGGUUUGUCUCUUCCCAGUCUAGUGAGGGUGCUUCAUAUAUUCUUGGAUGCAUGAAGAUUAAGGGGUGCGAUGAAGGUGGCAACAUGAAUCAUCAAGCAAAUAUUUCUGUUCAUUGCAAUAUUUUGUACAUUAUUUCUGAUCUCUAUUAUAAUCAAGCCUCAUAUUGGCUAGUUUUUCCUUCAAUUUUUUAUUACUGUACAAGACUUGUAUUAUAGAUGCUGUUAAUUAAUUAGUACAAAUGUAUAUUUUGAAAUUUA